GUGUCAGAGAAUGACAAUGGGCAUGAUUUGUGUCUAAUAAACAUUAUGUCAUCAAGGGUAAUAUUUAGAUUUGAGUAGAAGUCAGUUAUGACUGAGCUCAGGGUCUGUGGUGAGGAAGACUAUCCAGAUAAAUGAAUAGGGAUGGACUUUUAUGGAGUGUGUUUAAGGGGUUCUUAGAAGAUCAGUUUCAAGUGUAAGGCUCAGGCCUAAAAGUAGAAAAUGAAAAAUUUGGUGGGAGCUCUUUACAAAGCUUUGAAAGGCAACCAAAGAAUUGUGGGCCUUGAGCUGAUGACAUGUUGUUAACUUUGUUUAUUUUCUGUGGAGUCAUAUUUACUGAACGCCACCUUGUCCCUCUUCAGUAAUAUUCUUUAUUUGGUAAGAAGUUGUUG
rnacentral:lncRNA from 1 species